rnacentral:rRNA from 1 species
UGGGGAAUUUUGGACAAUGGGCGAAAGCCUGAUCCAGCAAUGCCGCGUGUGUGAAGAAGGCCUUCGGGUUGUAAAGCACUUUUGUCCGGAAAGAAAUCCUUGGCUCUAAUACAGUCGGGGGAUGACGGUACCGGAAGAAUAAGCACCGGCUAACUACGUGCCAGCAGCCGCGGUAAUACGUAGGGUGCAAGCGUUAAUCGGAAUUACUGGGCGUAAAGCGUGCACAGGCGGUUUGCUAAGACCGAUGUGAAAUCCCCGGGCUCAACCUGGGAACUGCAUUGGUGACUGGCAGGCUAGAGUAUGGCAGAGGGGGGUAGAAUUCCACGUGUAGCAGUGAAAUGCGUAGAGAUGUGGAGGAAUACCGAUGGCGAGGGCAGCCCCCUGGGCCAAUACUGACGCUCAUGCACGAAAGCGUGGGGAGCAAAACAGGAUUAGAUACCCUGGUAGUCCACGCCCUAAACGAUGUCAACUAGUUGUUGGGGAUUCAUUUCCUUAGUAACGUAGCUAACGCGUGAAGUUGACCGCCUGGGGAGUACGGUCGCAAGAUU